GGAAAAAAAUUUUGCUAAAAUAUAACCACUGGUUAUCUCUGGAAGGGAGGAGUUCAGAUAGUUUGUUUUUUGUUUUUGUUUUGUCAUUUUAGGGCCACACCCCUAACAUAUGAAGGUUCCUGGGCUAGGGGUUGAAUUGGAGCUGGAGCCACUAGCCUACACCACAGCCACAGCAACGAGGGAUCCAAGCCGCAUCUGUGACCUACACCACAGCUCAUGGCAAUGCUGGAUCCUUAACCCACUGAGCAAGGCCAGGGAUCGAACCUGCGUCCUCUUGGAUACUAGUCAGAUUCCUUUCCCCUGAGCCACGAGGGGAACUCCCUCAAGUAGUUCUUAAUUUUCUUUGUAUUUUUCUGUAUUUGCCAGAAUUUGAGGAAUGAACAGUUAUUAUUUUCUAAUAAGAAAAAGGAGUAAGAUUUUUAAAAAAGCUGACAUCACAAAAUAGUGUGGCCUGGAGUAAAGAAUGCUUGGAUUCAGAUACUGGCUCUACCAUUCUAGAGCCUUGUGACCUUGGGGCGGGGGCAGGGGGAGCUGCUUUACUUUUCGCAUAGGAUUCUUUUGAAGAUUAAAUUAGGUAUGACAUAUGUAGGCUAGUUUUUAUAAUGUCUGUAAUGCAUUUGGUGCUUAAUAAACAUUAAUUUCCUUCCUUCUUGUUUUUCUCAUUAAUGACUAUUAUAAUAAACUCUUCCAAACAGAUAGAAAAUACCAUAAAACUAAUAAGAAAAACACAAUUAAAUACUUAGACAGUUGAACACUUGUGGCGUGGUAGUUUCAGAACUAAUUCUGCUACAGGAUAGAAAGUGAGAAUAUUCAUUAGAGCAAAACAAAGAGGUGAGGUAUUUCACUUCUGUUGAUAGGAAGAGGCAGCUAUAAAUCCUCAGUGUUGUUAGUCAGCAAUAACAUUGUGUCCUAAGUAGAGCUUAAAACAUUCUCCACAGGUUCAAUCAGAAUAGUUUUUUGAAGCUGUGUUGUAGAUAAUUUGCUGCUUUUAAUUCAUCAUGGCUGUCAAUAUCAAGAAAUAAAAGUAGUCAGGACUUGAGAAUAAUAAAUCUCAUAUUAGUAAAUCAACAUGUAAAAUGAGAUGCCUUCAUUAAUUUCAGAGGUUAUAUUUCAGUGACAUAAGCUAGUUAGGCAAAAUAGGCACCGACAUAAAAUUCUCAAAGGAUUUAACAGUUGUAUUCUUCUUACAUGCUUGUUAGAUGUACAAUAGAAAACGUAUUUGCUUUCCCCUGUUUUGCCAAGGAAGUGGCACAGACUUAAAGAGGAAGAUUAAUUGAGAUGGGCCAGUGCAGUGGCAAAGUAGGAUCUCAUCCUAGAUACACUGGACUUCUGAAGCACCAACAUUGCUGUCUCUGGUAUUGCUGCAUCUGAUGUCUUCAUAAAAGGAAACAAUUUUUUUUUCUUCUUUUAUGGCUGCACUUGUGGCAUAUGGAUGUUCCUGAACUAGGGGUCAAUUUGGAGCUGCAGUUGCAGGCCUACGCCACAGCCACAGCAACACCAGAUCCCAGCUGCAUUUGCAACCUACUCUUGCAGCUUUUAACAAUGCCGGAUCCUUAACCCACUGAUCGAGGUGAGGGAUUAAAACCUCAUCCUCACGGGUAUUAUGUUGGUUUCUUAACCCACUCAGCCACAGCAGAAACCCCAAGAAAUAGUUUUUACAGACACUAAUUCAAAAAGAUAUAUGCACCCCCGUGUUCAUAACAGCGUUCUGUUUAAUAGCCGAGAUAUAGAAGCAACCCAAGUGUCCAUCAAUAGGUGAAUGGCGAGUUUCUGCUGUGGUGCAGUGGGUUAAGAGUCCAGCUGUAGCCACUUGGGUUGCUGUGGAGAUUCAGAUUCGACCCCUGGCCCGGCACAGUUGGUUAAAAAGAUCGGGCAUUGCUGCAGCUGUGGCAUGGGUCACAGCUAUGACUUGGAUUCAGUUCCUGGCCUAGGAACUUCCAUAUGCCGUGGGUGUGGCCAUAAAAAACAACAACAAAAAAACCCCCCAAAUGAAUGGACAAAGAGAAGCUGUACUGUAUGCAGUGGAUAUAUACAGCCUAUAUAUAUGCCAUGGAAUACUACCCAGCCAUAAAAAAGAAUGAAAUGAUGCUGUUUGCAACAACCGGGAUGGACCUAGAGAAUAUUACACUCAUGAUUUUUUUUGUCUCUCAAGAGCGUCUUUAACCUUGCAGUUGUUUGACUCAUUAUAGGUUACCUAGGGAAUUUUGUGCUAUAUUUAAUGAUUUUUAGAAUGAUUCUCUUGUUUGACUCUGUCCCACGCCCCCUUUUUUUUUCUUUUCAGGGCUGCACCCGUGGCAUAGGGGAGUUCCCAGGCUAGGGGUUUAACUGGAGCUGUAGCUGCCGACCUACGCCACAGCCACACCACCAGAUCUGAGCUGUGUCUGCAGCCUACACCACAGCUCACAGCAACGCUGGACCCUUAACCCACUGAGUGAGGCCAGGGAUCAAAUCUGCAACCUCAUGGAUAUUAGUCUGGUUUGUAACCCUCUGAGUCACAGUGGGAACUCCUGACUCUGUCCCUUAUCUUAAUAGAGUCCUAUUAAUUUCCUUACCUAACUCAGUGUACUGUCCUCCACAUCAUUUGUUGUCAGAGCUGCUAAGGAACUGACAGAGAAAGUGGACUCCAAACUCCAGGACAGCAGAAACCAUGUCAGCUUUAUCCAGUAUAGACUGUGUCUUGCACAGCAGCUGGUAUGCAGUAGGCACACAGUAAAGCAGUCCAUGAGGGUGUGUAUAAGCAUAGAUAGAGCAGAAGAGACCUUGGGGUCAUAGUUGACUAGAGCCUGAGUCAUCAGCAUAUUGCUGGGGGGAGUGAGGCACAAGAAGAGGAGAGGGAAGAUUCAGCCAGGUUUUUGGAGGUGUGUGGAGAAACGAGGAAUAGUAGUAUUUUUGAAGAUUUAUAAUCUAGGCACUGUGCUAUCGGGUUUAUAUUUUGCAUCUUAUUUAAUCUGUUGAGUAUUGUGGACCAAAAAAUGUUGCCUGCCAUUCCAGUAAACAGUGAAUGUUGCCUCCAUAAGCCUCUGCAGCCUCCCUGAUGAUGUGCUCCAAGGGCAAUUCCAGAUGGAGAAAAACAGAAUUAAGAAAUUAUUUCUAUGAGCCCAGACUCUGGCACCUUCCAUUACAAAGAAAAGCACUAAAAUCAUCAACUUUUGAGACGUCUGUUUUUGUGUGAUUAGCAGUAAUCUUUUCUUUUUUUUCUUUCUUUUUUUUUUUUUUUUUGGCUGCCCCUUGGCAUAUGGAGUUUCCAAGCUGUAGUUGCAGCCGAUGCCGCAGGUGCGGCAAUGCCGGAUCCUUAACCCACUGUGCUGGGCCAGGGAUUGAACCUGUGUGCCAGUGCUCCCAAGGUGCAGCCGAUCCUGUCGUGUCAUGGUGGGAACUCCAGUAGUAAUCCUUGGAUGUUUCACUACAUGGUUUUUAUUGUCCCAGCCAAAACUAUAUACCUGGCUCUUCUCUUACCUCUUGUGAGCAGUUUCUCAGAGCUAUAUGAGAGGCUGUCUGUUGAUCAGGUUAUGGUCCUCAGUAAGGUCCCUGAAUAAAACAACCUGCAACUUUUAGGUCGUGUGUUUUUCUUUGGUUGACGGUGCAAACAACAGCAGCCCAACAAAAGAAAUGAUGGAAAGGCAGGAAAAUGUUUUGAUUGGCCUACAUAAGAGGAUGCUAGCAAUGACUUCAUGUAUGGCACUACUUAGAAAGUUGGUUUGUACAGGAGUUGUUGAGGUGUUGGUGGAACAUGGUAGAAUCAUUUUCAGUUAGAUUUUGGUUAGGGGUAAAUUUAAAAAUUGCAAAUAAUACUAUAAUCAAAAUAAUGACAGCUGAGACAGAAGUAAAAACAUGUUGGAUCUCAUCCUAAGAAGUCAUUUGUCUUGUAAAAUAACUGUCAGGUGGAUACUGUGGAAUGUUAGGCUUACACAGACUCUAGAAAGAAGAAUGUCUAGAGGUAAAUUUAAAAAAUUGAUGGUUAGAUAAGCUGCCUGAGAUAAGCUUUCAGAGUUUUCUUUCAGUUGGAUUCUGUGACUUGAUCAUAUUGGAAGUAAAUAAUUUUGAGGGAAGAUGUCUAUUUUUUUUUUCAUUUGCCUUUUAUUAAAUUUAGGGAUAAUUUAAAGUGAAGAUAGAAUAAGUGAUUAAAAAGAAAAUUUCCAUUGUCAAUUUAAUUUGAGGGAGCUGUAGAGGAACCAGUCCUUUGCAUUCCCCUCCCACAAAUACUUCGAGUUUUCUGCUAAGUUAUUAGUAGGUACUAAUUUGAAAACUUGUGAGUCUUUCCCUGUUAUGUUGCUGCAGCAGCUUUUAUCUUUCAGAAAGCCUUUUUACUAAAAUGCAAAGGCUGUGCUUAUAUUACAAACUUCGCAGUGUUUUCGUGUGUUAAAAAUGACCUUCACAAGAUGGAUGGAAACUUGCUGAUCAUACCUUUUAUUUAUUGUAAAAGAAAGUCUUUUUCUUCCUUUAAUGUACAAUUGGAAGAUGAAAUGAAUUGAUUUUUUUAAAGAUAAACUUCUUUGAAGGCAUGUUAAUAAAAUUUGGUGCAUCUUUCUUCUGGAGGAAAUAUUGUCAAAAUAGUUGUAUUUUACUCCUCUUUUGAUGUCUGUUGUUUAUGAGGUCGCUUUAAAAUCCUUGAGCAAAUCUUACAGGUUACUUUGAAGUCUUGAAUGCUUGAGAAGAUAAACCAAUGAAUGAACUUAAUCAGUUAAAAAUUUUACUGCUGGCAGCUUGCCUCAUAUCCAGCUUUGAAUGAUGAAUGGAAUUAGGUCUGCACAUCGUUUACGUUGUUAGUGUACAAACACCCUUGGUCUUUAACCAUGGGUUGUUUACGUGGGAGUGUGAUAAUUUUCUACUCACUUCAGAGGAUUGUGGAAAAAGUACUUUAUUGCUAUUUUUAAUCUUUUUAAUAUACAUAAACCAUUUGCUGAAUGCAAAACACCGCUGGGCCCAUAGGGAAUGAUUGGUACGUAGCAUAUCAGUGUGUUUACAGUAGAGUGUGGAAGGUGGACCUGAUUGAGGAAAAAAAGAGGGGCACUGCCAGGGGGAAAUGCUUCCUUUGAGCUGAAAAUAAAGGCAGUCACCAAGUUUCAAACUGAAGCAUUGCUGUUAUGAUGUGACUCUUCUCUUAAAAGACCCAUUUUAGUAGCAUUGUCAGUGGUAGACAUGAACCUGAGAGGAGAACAGGCUGAAGGAUGAGAUUCUUUAAAUCCCAUCCCGUGUUAUGAUUGAUCACUCUGAGCAUUAGUUUGAAAUGCUUACAGAGACAGAGGGUUGAUUUAGAAAUUACUAGAAUGGCUCAGACCAAGAGUUUAAUCUCAGUAUUUGAUUGCCACUAGUGACCUACAUUUAAAAAUAGUUCUGCUGUUAUGGGACAGUGUGAUUUUCAUCUCCAGUAGUUCCUUAAAGGUUAAGUUUUGCCCUGUUUCUUUGAGCAGUGAUUUGUAGUUUUGUCUCAUUUUUUUUUUCCCAGUACCUUUUGGGUUUAUUUUAUACCUCUGUUUAUUGCAUUUUGAGGCAUUGGUUUUUAUAAUUUUAUUUCAUACUAUAGAAAGUAGAACUUAUGCCUUUUUCUUAUUUAUCUUAUUCAUCAUCAAAGGAUCCUACCAGUUUGAUGGUUUUGGAUUUAAUGAGUUCAAAUCUGUGUAUUAUUUAUGCUUUUAUAGAUUGUUUUUUCCCAACCAUUACCUUUUCUUUUUUAUUUUUUUGUCUUUUGUCUUUGUAGGGCUGUACCCCCAGCAUAUGGAGUUUCCCAGGCUAGGGGUCCAGUCGGAGCUACAGCUGCUGGCCUACACCACAGCCACAGCAACGCUAAAUCCGAGCCGCAUCUGUGACCUACACCACAGCUCAUGGCAACACCAGAUCCUUAACCCACUGAGCAAGGCCAGGGAUUGAACCCGCAACCUCGUGGUUCCUAGCCGGAUUCAUUUCCGCUGUGCCAUGAUGGGAACUCCCCAACCAUUCAUUACCUUUUCUAACUGUCAACUUUCUUUUUUGGAUUCCUUUUAUUUGAUUAUGCCUUAGUUGAAUUUCUUUGACCCUUCAUUAGUUCUUUCACAUUUGGGUGUUUCUCUGUGUGAAAUAUAAAUAGUUCCAUAUAUUCAAUAUUUUGUAAUAACCUAGAAGGGAAAAGAUUCUGAAAAAGGCUAUCUGUAUCUAUCUGUAUACCUAUAUGCAUAUGUAUCUAUGACUGAAUCACUGUGCUGUACACCUGAGACUAACACAUAUUGUAAAUCAGCUAUACUUCAAUAACACACACACACUUCCAACUGGAAUCAGUACUAAAGCGGACUUUAAAUCAGUUUCUGACUCAUGAACCAACUCACCCAAGCUCGAGUUGACUUUGACGUUUAAAAAACUGUGAUCCCUUUGAAGGCAGGGAUUGUAUUUAUCGAUUUAUGACCAGAGACCAAUAUAGUACCUGAUCUUGGUGGGCUGUCAAUAAAGGUUUGUUGAGUAAAUGAAUUCAUGGAAUAUUGUCAAAGGUUUAGUGAAUAUUUAAGUAGAUUAAGAGCUUGAUUUCAUUUUAUUUAUGUAAAUACUGUGAAAUGACUCCCAGUAAAUUAUUCAAGCAUACUAUCUCUUAAAACAUUUAUGACAGUAGCAGUAACUACUCCGAAACACUGGUCUUAAGCCUUUAGAGUACUAUUAUUUGAAAUCAGAAUUAAUGCGUAUCAUCCUUUGCCUGCUUGAACUGUGAGAAUGGUAAAGUAGUGGUGAUAUACUAGGCUGACAAGGAAGCAGUAACUGUUAUCCUCAUCCAUUAAUAGUGGUUUAUAAAAUGGCUAAUCCUUUUAGAAAAUAUUUUAAAAGUAUGGGAACUAUCAAAAUGUCUAUAUUAUUUGACUCAGUAUUAUAAUAUUUAGAGUCUAAUAAAGUAGUCCAAAAUAAGGAACCAGCUAUGUUUAGAAAGAUGUUAAUUGUAGAAUUAUUUAUUCAGUUGAAUUAUAUAGAGUUAAACCUUGAGUAAAUUAAUUAUGCCUCUGCCUCAAUUUUCUUAGCUACAGAAUGGAGAUAAUAGUACCUUUAUGAAAUUAUAUUAGCGUAGUAUCUGGCAUAUAUAAAGCACUCAAAUUUGGCUGCCACCGCUAUUGUGUUUUAUUAUUAUUGACACAUAGGCCUCUCAUUUUCUGGAGGCUUUGUUUUUGGCCAUGGCAUGCAGCAGCUUGAUGUGGGAGUUCCCAGACCAUGGAUCGAACCUGGACUACAGCAGUGGAAGUGCCAAAUCCUAACCACUGGGCCACCAGGAAGCUCGCUCCUGGAGACUUUUAUGUAAUUGUCCUGGGCAUUAUGUUAGGUGCAUGGGAGAAAAGUAAUUAAAAGUUGUGGUUCUUAUUUAUAGGGAACGUAAAAUUCAUUUGGUGGUAGAUAGGUUUAUAAAUUUUAAUUACAGAUCAGUUAUGUGUUAAGUGACACAAGGAAGUUACAAAAUGCUGUGAGAGCUCUAGUACAGGAAAGAUUGCAGAUUACUUUGGAUUUGUAAAGGUGGAGAGGUGACAUUUUCAUCAAGCUUUGAAGGAUAAAUAGAAUUUUUAGAAGUAAAACAAUGAGAGAGGGUAUUUCAUGAGGCACAGGAGCAAAGACACAGGAGCAGGAAAAUAAAGCAUAGAUGAAGCGAAGUAGAGUUAUGGGAGAUAAGGCUGAGGAGAUGGGAAGGAGUACCCAUGAUGGAAUGGUUUGAAAGCCAAGCUGAAGAGUUUUUAUUUUUUUUACAUGAGACUGGUAAGUGAUGGCUUUUGUAACCUGAUUAGAGCAUGGUUUUAGGAAGAUUGAAUAAUUGCAAAAUGGUUUGCUAGAGGUAGAAGAGAUGGGAAAGUGGGAAGGCUAGUUUUUUCAUUUAUUCAUUCAUCAAAAAACAUUUGUUGCUCACUCAUGCGCCAUGUUUUAUGCUUUGUAUUGAGGAUAGUAAACUUUAUCAUAUUUACUUGAUCUAUGUUAAUGGUAUUUCAGAACAUAGGUUAAUGGAGACUGAAACUAGCGUAGUGUUUGUAGGAACGAAAGGUAGAUUAGAAGUCAAAUGCAUUAUAGAGGUGACAUGUCAGGCUGGUAAUUUUGUGUACGGAAUGAGGGAGAGGUACAAGUUAAAGACAGCUUUUCAGUUUUAAACCUGAAGAACUUGGGGACUUGGUACACUUCUUAUUCCUAAUGCACAUUGGAAAACAAAGAGGGUAAGCUAGUGGGAUAUUUUAUAUUUGAUUUAUUUCAAGUUGCCAAUGGAAAAUUAAAUUAAUUCUCUUUAGGAGGCAGUUAUCAGUGGGGAAUUGGGACUUGGGGAGUCGGGACUAGGGGUGGCCAGGCAUGUUAACAAUAUAGAUUUGUGGAGUUCCUGUCGUGGCUCAGUGGCUAACAAACCCGACUAGCAUCCAUGAGGACAUGCGUUCAAUCCCUGGCCUCACUCAGUUGGUUGGGGAUCUGGCAUUGCUGUGAGCUCUGGUGUAGGUCACAGACGCUGCUUGGAUCCUGCGUUGCUGUGGCUUGUGGUGUAGGCCCGCAGCUACAUCGCAAUUCAACCCCUAGCCUGGGAACCUCCACAUGCCGCAGGUGCGGCCCUCAAAAGACAAAAAAAAAAAAAAA
rnacentral:lncRNA from 1 species